rnacentral:rRNA from 1 species
AGAGUUUGAUCAUGGCUCAGAAUCAACGCUGGCGGCGUGCCUAACACAUGCAAGUCGAACGAGAAAGUCCCGCAAGGGAUGAGUAAAGUGGCGCACGGGUGAGUAACACGUGAGCAACCUGCCCUUGGCUCUGGGAUAGCUCCGGGAAACCGGGAUUAAUACCGGAUAUGACCUCCUGCUGCAUGGCGGGGGGUGGAAAGCUUUGUUGCGGCUGGGGAUGGGCUCGCGGCCUAUCAGCUUGUUGGCAGGGUGAUGGCCUACCAAGGCGACGACGGGUAGCCGGCCUGAGAGGGCGGGCGGCCACACUGGGACUGAGACACGGCCCAGACUCCUACGGGAGGCAGCAGUGGGGAAUAUUGCGCAAUGGGCGGAAGCCUGACGCAGCGACGCCGCGUGCGGGAUGAAGGCCUUCGGGUUGUAAACCGCUUUCACCGCAGACGAAGCCUCCGGGUGACGGUAUGCGGGGAAGAAGCGCCGGCUAACUACGUGCCAGCAGCCGCGGUAAUACGUAGGGCGCGAGCGUCGUCCGGAAUCAUUGGGCGUAAAGAGCUCGUAGGCGGCCGGUUGCGUCUGCUGUGAAAUCCCGGGGCUUAACCCCGGGCGUGCAGUGGAUACGGGCUGGCUGGAGGCAGGCAGGGGAGAAUGGAAUUCCCGGUGUAGCGGUGAAAUGCGCAGAUAUCGGGAGGAACACUGGUGGCGAAGGCGGUUCUCUGGGCCUGUGCUGACGCUGAGGAGCGAAAGCGUGGGGAGCGAACAGGAUUAGAUACCCUAGUAGUCC